rnacentral:rRNA from 1 species
UACAGAGGUCCCAAGCGUUGUUCGGAUUCACUGGGCGUAAAGGGUGCGUAGGUGGUUAGGUAAGUCCGAUGUGAAAUCUCCAGGCUCAACCUGGAAAUGGCAUUGGAUACUAUCUAGCUUGAGGAGUGGAGGGGGGACUGGGAAUUCUCGGUGUAGCAGUGAAAUGCGUAGAUAUCGAGAGGAACACCAGUGGCGAAGGCGAGUCCCUGGACACUUCCUGACACUGAGGCACGAAAGCGUGGGUAGCAAACAGG